rnacentral:rRNA from 1 species
ACGGAGGGUGCAAGCGUUAAUCGGAAUUACUGGGCGUAAAGCGUGCGCAGGCGGUUUGUUAAGUCUGUUGUGAAAUCCCCGAGCUCAACUUGGGAAUUGCAAUGGAUACUGGCAGGCUGGAGUACGGUAGAGGAAGGUGGAAUUCCCGGUGUAGCAGUGAAAUGCGUAGAGAUCGGGAGGAACACCAGUGGCGAAGGCGGCUCACUGGACUGGUAUUGACGCUGAGGUGCGAAAGCGUGGGGAGCAAACAGGA